rnacentral:rRNA from 1 species
UACAGAGUUCCCAAGCGUUGUUCGGAUUCACUGGGCGUAAAGGGUGCGUAGGUGGUUAGGUAAGUCCGAUGUGAAAUCUCCAGGCUCAACCUGGAAAUGGCAUUGGAUACUAUUUAGCUUGAGGAGUGGAGGGGGGACUGGAAUUCUCGGUGUAGCAGUGAAAUGCGUAGAUAUCGAGAGGAACACCAGUGGCGAAGGCGAGUCCCUGGACACUUCCUGACACUGAGGCACGAAAGCUAGGGGAGCAAACAGG